GACGAACGCUGGCGGCGUGCUUAACACAUGCAAGUCGAACGAGAAGAGAUGAGAAGCUUGCUUCUUAUCGAUUCGAGUGGCAAACGGGUGAGUAACGCGUAAGCAACCUGCCCUUCAGAUGGGGACAACAGCUGGAAACGGCUGCUAAUACCGAAUACGUUCUUUUGUCGCAUGGCAGAGGGAANAAAGGGAGGCUCUUCGGAGCUUUCGCUGAAGGAGGGGCUUGCGUCUGAUUAGCUAGUUGGAGGGGUAACGGCCCGACCAAGGCGACGAUCAGUAGCCGGUCUGAGAGGAUGAACGGCCACAUUGGGACUGAGACACGGCCCAGACUCCUACGGAGGCAGCAGUGGGAAUCUUCCGCAAUGGACGAAAGUCUGACGGAGCAACGCCGCGUGAACGAUGACGGCC
rnacentral:rRNA from 1 species